rnacentral:rRNA from 1 species
CCUACGGGAGGCAGCAGUGAGGAAUAUUGCACAAUGGGCGAAAGCCUGAUGCAGCGACGCCGCGUGGAGGAUGAAGGUCUUCGGAUUGUAAACUCCUGUCAAAUGGGAAGAAAGACCUGCCUUUAAUACAGGUGGGGGAUGACGGUACCAUUAGAGGAAGCACCGGCUAACUUCGUGCCAGCAGCCGCGGUAAUACGAGGGGUGCAAGCGUUAUUCGGAAUUACUGGGCGUAAAGGGUGUGUAGGUGGUGUAUUAAGUCUGUUGUUAAAUCUCCUGGCUUAACUGGGAAAUCGUGAUGGAAACUAAUACGCUAGAGUGUGAGAGAGAGAAGUGGAAUUCUCGGAGUAGCGGUAAAAUGCGUAGAUAUCGAGAGGAACACCGAUGGCGAAAGCAGCUUCUUGGCUCACUACUGACACUGAAACACGAAAGCGUGGGGAGCA